GUCCACGCGGUAAACGAUGGAUACUAGGUGUAACUGGCUUCGACCCCAGUUGUGCCGUAGCUAACGCAUUAAGUAUCCCGCCUGGGGAGUAUGGCCGCAAGGUUGAAACUCAAAGGAAUUGACGGGGGCCCGCACAAGCGGUGGAGGAUGUGGUUUAAUUCGACGCAACGCGAAGAACCUUACCAAGGCUUGACAUGUACAGAAUCCAGCGGAAACAUUGGAGUGCUCGCAAGAGAGCUGUAACACAGGUGGUGCAUGGCUGUCGU
rnacentral:rRNA from 1 species